rnacentral:rRNA from 1 species
GAUGAACGCUGGCGGCGCGCCUAACACAUGCAAGUCGAACGGAGAACAUUUAGCAAUAGAUGUUCUUAGUGGCGGACGGGUGAGUAACGCGUGAGGAACCUGCCUUUCGGAGGGGAAUAACACAUCGAAAGAUGUGCUAAUACCGCAUAACGUCAUUGGGUGGCAUCAUCUGAUGACCAAAGGAGCAAUCUGCCGAAAGAUGGCCUCGCGUCCGAUUAGAUAGUUGGUGAGGUAAUGGCCCACCAAGUCUGCGAUCGGUAGCCGGACUGAGAGGUUGAACGGCCACAUUGGGACUGAGACACGGCCCAGACUCCUACGGGAGGCAGCAGUGGGGGAUAUUAGUCAAUGGAGGAAACUCUGAACUAGCGACGCCGCGUGAGGGAAGAAGGUCUUCGGAUUGUAAACCUCUGUCUUCGGGGACGAUAAUGACGGUACCCGAGGAGGAAGCCCCGGCUAACUACGUGCCAGCAGCCGCGGU